rnacentral:lncRNA from 1 species
UGCACGAUGAGGUGCUUGGAAGAGCUGAACCAUCAGCUCUUAUUUAUGUUGUCCCAAGCAUGCACCUAUACAAAAUAAAUUCAACAAUAAAUCCAAAACAAAGACGCUACCAAGCUGCGCCACAUCCCUUUCAAUUGGUCUACGGUGUCAUUGUAGAGAAUCUCUGCCCUGUUUUCCACAUCAUUAUUUCCUCCAUCGAUAUCCAAUUUAUCUUGCCAUUUCUUCUUUUUGGUUUUCAUUUUUUUAUAUACUAAAUAUCAUCCCGCCGCUCCUACCAACGCUUACUUACUUAUGAGCAAAAAGGGUUAAAAAAAUCAACCCUUUGAAUAAGCGAGGCUUUCCCGAUAGAAAUAGCUGCAUGCAAGGAGAUCCCAAUUCCGUGUAUCCGGUUAAGCAAGCCCUGCCGCCAGCUU